GUAGUAUUCGUUGCCAGUGUGUCUAUAAAUAUUAUCGAGAGUGAACGUGUGCGUUAUUAUCGCUUGAGUAUUUAUUCAAUAUUAAAACUGUUACAGUGAUAACAAACAAACAUUUAAUUUAAAAUAUGAUACUGACGUGAUCGUGUAUAUUGUACAUUAAGAUGAAGAAAUUAAUGGUGUUCGGUGUUUUAUGCUGUUUAUUUAUCAGCGAAGCACGCGAUCUCACACAAAAAUCAGAAAACCAGCAGAGAUCUCUUCGUAAGCGUCACAUCAGAAAUUCAUACUGCUCGACACGUUACGACAGGGAUAGAGGAAUUGAAGAUCGAUUGGAGAUACUUGACAAUAGGAUCAGAAAUGUAGAGAUUUUACAAAAUAGAAAUAACAUAAUUUUAAAUGAGAUAAAUGACAAUUGUAAAAGUCUUCUUCGGCAGCCUCCGUGUUUACUGGAUGAGGAAAACGAUGAAAAAACAAUUAACAAUACUAGCAUAGACAAUAGAAUUUUUGUGGAUCCGAACCAAAUUUGGGGCAGCAACCCUGUUGAAGUGAGUUAUGAUUCUGAAUAUGAUGAUGGAAUAAGACCACCUAAUUUAAAUCGGAUACCUAUGGAAAAACGGCGUACGACUACUACUACGACUCAGAAGCCAGUGAUGAAACCAACCACCUGCCAUGCUGCCAUUCUCUUCUGUUGUGAAAACGGUGAUGAAGCUCGAGAAAGAUGUUUCUCGAGGUUCAGGUGCAGUGGUUCAUAUGGGACAGGACGAGCUUGCGAGCCGGAAACCAUUAAUCGGAUUAUUAAAUUAUAUCAUGAUUACUAUACGAUAUAAGACGAACGGUAGUUUGUAUAACAAUAAUAUACAGAACGAGGCCGAGAUAAUGUAUGUUGGGCAAAUAAUGAUAUGAAAAGAAAACGAAGAUAUAGCAAUGGCUGUAGAAAUAAUAGUUGGAUGUUUUGUUAUGUAGAAGUAGAGAACGACACAAUUUUCGAAUCAACGAAAUACUAGCCUAGCAAAUUAUAAAUAAUCUAAUACCGACGUAUAAAUGGUCUAAGCUAUAUAGUGAUAACUAGCAAGCCGCCUCAGCUUCACACGGACAUAAGAUCAUCAUUGUCACAUCACACACACUACAUGUUCACACUACUUUAAGGAAUGUUUUCCUAUCCUUUAGUACGCCUAGUAUUAUAUUCAUACAAACAUCCUUCUCUCCAUCAUUUUCAUUACUUCGAACUCCUCCAUCAGUACCAUACUACAUCCUUACUUAAAAAUGAAUUGAACCUUAUACGUAAGCAUAAACCUAAAAAAUUUAAACAUAACAUAGGUCCUUAUUAUGAGCAUUAAUGGUGAAAGUGAACUAAGUACGUGCAGUCAACAUUAUUACAAAUAAACGUGUG